rnacentral:rRNA from 1 species
AACGAACGCUGGCGGCAGGCUUAACACAUGCAAGUCGAGCGCCUCGCAAGAGGAGCGGCAGACGGGUGAGUAACACGUGGGAAUCUACCCAUCCUUACGGAACAACUCCGGGAAACUGGAGCUAAUACCGUAUACGCCCUUCGGGGAAAGAUUUAUCGAGGAUGGAUGAGCCCGCGUUGGAUUAGCUAGUUGGUGGGGUAAAGGCCUACCAAGGCGACGAUCCAUAGCUGGUCUGAGAGGAUGAUCAGCCACAUUGGGACUGA